UCCCACAUAGUUUUGUUUGGUUGAGGCAGC
rnacentral:piRNA from 1 species